GUAUGACAAAAUGAUGCGCCCCAAUGAUUUGGACGAGUCAUUCGGAUUCUUAGCACCCGCGAGCAUCAACUUAGGUUUAAUCUUAAAUAGACCGGAUACCGUGACGGAGUACGUUCUUCGGAUCCUCAAUGACAAUAAAGAUGCGGAGAAGUUGUUUUUUAUACCGUUUAAUACCGGUGGACAUUGGUUGUUGCUCGCAAUCAAUCCUAUCCGAGAAAUUGUGUAUUAUCUUGACUCGUUAGGAAAUGAUUGGACAACAUACCCGGAUAUGAAGUUCCUAAUUGACACGUAAGUGAGAAUGUUCAAAAUUUUUCUUAGUUUAUGUGAAUUGUUCUAAUUGCUUCAUUUUUAUUUUAUUAGCAUCCUACAAGCUUUUCGGGCCCAACGAGAUAUCCAAACCUCAAGGAGGGGCGCCAACCGCAUUACAUGGAUUAAAGUGGCGGUAUAUUUUUAAUUACCACAUUUUUUAUUAUAUUAGUGAUGACACUUGAUAAAACUUAGGAUUUAUAAUCCAUAUUUUUUUUUCAUGUAGUGUCCUCAACAACGUAAUCAAAUAGAUUGCGGGUAUUUCGUGUUGAGGUUUAUGCGGGAUACUCUUGCUUUGGGCCGAUUAGUGAUUCCCACCGAUGUAUGUAUUUCUAACUUAUGAGUUAUUUUUAUAUUUACACAUAUCUCAUAUAAUUAAAUAGUUGGAAUUAAUUCAAAAUAUGUUAUAUUAUUAUGUAGUACUUUGAGGAAUUCAAGUGUGCAUUUUAUACAAAGGAUCAAGUGGACGAAAUCAAAGAGGAGUGGUGUCAAUUCAUGAUAGAGCUCAAAGUUUUUUCAUAAAUUUGUGUAAUUUUGUAGUAUAUUUGUAGUAUAUGUAAUGACUUGUAAAUGUGUACAUAAAUUUGUAGUAUAUGUAAUGACUUGUAAAUGUGUACAUAAAUUUGUAUAUAUUUUGAUACAUUUAAGGCAAAAUUGGUUUGAAUUGGUAUA